ACCUGAGGCCUUCUGAAGCAUGGGUCCUCUCUCUGGGCUGUGAUAAUUCAGGAUAAAUCUGCUUCACACAGGCUGCAGUAUCUCUACAUCAACUUGCUACGGUUUGUGGUCCACCACAUGCUGAAAAGUGGAUAUCUGCUCUGCCAAGAUGUCUCCCAUGGGCAACAGGGAAUCUGCUCUGGCUUCAGGAGCACCUGCUUUCUCUGCUCUGGCAGUGUGUCCUGCAGUACGCAUGUCUUGCAGUUGGACUGAGGCAUCAGUUGGAAGUAGCAGGGCAAGAAGUGGAAGCUGAAGGUGAAGGAGCAAAGUGAAAGAAUAUGGGAAAUCGCAGCACUGAAUAGAAGAAAUGGGGGAAAAGAUUUUAAAAACAGAAGUGCUGCUGCUACAAAGGUUGAUGCUCAAGUUGUAUUUCUGCUGGCCAUUAAAGGGAUAGGAAGACUAAGGUAUACUGCUCCCUUGGUUGGCCUUAGUGAUGGCUGUGAUCAUCUGCCAAUGAAGCUGUUUUGACUUUGCUUGCACAGUGAGUAUGACCUG